rnacentral:rRNA from 1 species
AGAUUGAACGCUGGCGGCAUGCCUAACACAUGCAAGUCGAACGGGAGUAGCAAUACUCUAGUGGCGGACGGGUGAGGAAUACGUAGGAAUUUGCCCUUAAGUGGGGGAUAACCCGGGGAAACCCGGAUUAAUACCGCAUGACCUCGAAAGAGCAAAGUGGGGGAUCGCAAGACCUCACGCUUUUGGAGAAGCCUACGUCGGAUUAGCUAGUUGGUGAGGUAAUGGCUCACCAAGGCGACGAUCCGUAACUGGUCUGAGAGGAUGAUCAGUCACACCGGAACUGAGACACGGUCCGGACUCCUACGGGAGGCAGCAGUGGGGAAUAUUGGACAAUGGGCGCAAGCCUGAUCCAGCAAUGCCGCGUGUGUGAAGAAGGCCUUCGGUUGUAAAGCACUUUAAGUUAGGGAAGAAAAACGUCGCUCUAACACAGUGAGUCUUGACGGUACCGACAGAAUAAGCAACCGGCUAACGUCUAGUGCCAGCAGCCGC